rnacentral:tRNA from 1 species
GAGGGCAUAGCUUAGUGGAGUGCCUGUGCUUAACAUGCACGGGGUCCUGGGUUCAAUCCCCAGUACCCCCA